GAGGAAGGAGGAGGAAGAGGAGGCGGGGGACGGCGCGGAGUUUUCCGGCGGAGGGCUGCCCCUGUGCGGCCCCACAGCCGCGCUCAGCCGCUCCGCAUCGCCCCGCGGACAAAGGAGCCGCCCCCGCUGGCAUCCAUCCAGCUCAGCACGGCCUCUUUUCGGAUCAGCUCUGAGUUUUCUUCGGAGAAAACCUUCUCCCAAGAGUUUGCUGAUCCGUUUCCAUCCUGGCGAUGCAGAGAGGCAGAGCCCGGGCCGGGGGAAGCAAUUCACCUGGAUGCCAAAAUGCAGCGCUAACCUCUUCCAAAUGGAGCCGAGUGGGGAUGGAGAGAGAGCAACACCACCGGUAUGAGCCCUCAUUUCCAGGAUGGGGAGGAGGAUCCAGGAUGUGUGCGGUGCCCGGUUCCUUGUGGCUGGGCAGGAUGAGUGCAAGCACGGGGAUUGAGCAGCACCGUGUGCCCCGGCCCCACAAUCAGAGCUGCGCUGUGCCCCCGCUGCACUCAGCAGCACUGACUUCAGGCAGCGCUUCCCCGUGCCAUGAUCUCUCAUUAUAACUUU